rnacentral:rRNA from 1 species
UACGGGGGGGGCAAGCGUUGUUCGGAAUCAUUGGGCGUAAAGCGUGCGCAGGCGGUUUUGUAAGCCAGAUGUGAAAUCCCCGGGCUUAACCUGGGAACUGCAUUUGGGACUGCAAGGCUUGAGUGCGGCAGAGGAGACUGGAAUUCCCGGUGUAGCAGUGAAAUGCGUAGAUAUCAGGAGGAAUACCGAUGGCGAAGGCAGGUCUCUGGGCUGACACUGACGCUCAUGCACGAAAGCGUGGGGAGCAAACAGG